UCACUUGUCGAGUGUUUCUGCGCCGAAGAUGUAACGGGGCUAAGCAUAUUACCGAAUUUAUGGAUGAUACGCAAGUAUCGUGGUAGACGAGCGUUGUAUUCUGGGAUGAAGCCAAACCGUGAGGAUUGGUGGACUGAAUACAAGUGAGAAUGCCGGUGUAAGUAACGCUUGAGAGUGAGAAUCUCUCAAACCGAUUGACUAAGGUUUCCUGGACGAGGGUCGUCCUUCCAGGGUUAGUCUGGACCUAAGGUGAGGCUGAAAAGCGUAAUCGAUGGACAACAGGUUAAUAUUCCUGUACCGACAAUGCAACUGAUGGAGUGACGGAGAAGGUUAAUGGUUCCCUAUUAUCGGAUUUAGGGUUAAAUAACAAGACUUUGUGGUUGGCAAAUCCGCCACAUUUAAGGUCAAGUUAUGAAUACGAGCGAACGUUUCGGCAAGUAGCGAAGAAUCAUAUAUCACGCUUCCAAGAAAAACUUCUAGGGUUAAUUGCAUAGUU
rnacentral:rRNA from 2 species